UAACAACAGGGGCUGCUCUAAGAGAACUCCAGAGGAAUGAGGAAACUGAGGGCUAAGCAGGGAGCAGACAGGAGAAAAAUGUAAAGAAAAAAAAGAUUCAAGCUAAUCCUACCCCAGCAUCCUCCUGUCAUGAUCUCUGGCAGGAAGAACAAAAGAAGGCAACUAAACAGAAAGAGGUUUGGUUUUGUUUACUGCGACAUACACAUGA
rnacentral:lncRNA from 1 species